AAUUGGAAAAACAGCUUGAUAAUAAAGAAGUUAGGCUUUCGAAGGAACCACCAGUAGAUGAUGAAAAUGCAAUUACUAUAGUUGUUCGGAUGCCAGAUGGUAGUCGCAGUGAACGUCGCUUUCUCAAAUCCGACAAGCUUCAGGCCCUUUUUGAUUUCGUAGACAUUCAUGGAGCAGUGAAGCCUGGAACCUAUAGAGUUGUAAAGUCAUACCCGCGAUGCGCUUAUAGCACCAAGGAUGGCAAGUUAACUUUUAGUGAAGUUGGCCUUAGCAGCAAGAGUGAGGCAUUGUUUCUGGAGUUUAUUUAGCUUUCAUCUAAGUUCCUGUAAGUACCCUGAUCUGUAUUUGUACAUAUAGAGUAGGACAAAACAAAACAGGAUUUCUCACUUGGCAAUAUAGUGUAAAGAGGUUAAUAUUUGAGACAUAUAUUCAUUGGACACUGAGGGCCAAUGGUAUCUUUCUGUCUAUACAAAUCUCCUUACUAGCUUUUCAAAUAUUA